rnacentral:rRNA from 1 species
UGACCUGCGGAAGGAUCAUUACCGAGUGAGGGCCCUCUGGGUCCAACCUCCCACCCGUGUUUAUUUUACCUUGUUGCUUCGGCGGGCCCGCCUUAACUGGCCGCCGGGGGGCUUACGCCCCCGGGCCCGCGCCCGCCGAAGACACCCUCGAACUCUGUCUGAAGAUUGAAGUCUGAGUGAAAAUAUAAAUUAUUUAAAACUUUCAACAACGGAUCUCUUGGUUCCGGCAUCGAUGAAGAACGCAGCGAAAUGCGAUACGUAAUGUGAAUUGCAAAUUCAGUGAAUCAUCGAGUCUUUGAACGCACAUUGCGCCCCCUGGUAUUCCGGGGGGCAUGCCUGUCCGAGCGUCAUUGCUGCCCUCAAGCCCGGCUUGUGUGUUGGGCCCCGUCCCCCGAUCUCCGGGGGACGGGCCCGAAAGGCAGCGGCGGCACCGCGUCCGGUCCUCGAGCGUAUGGGGCUUUGUCACCCGCUCUGUAGGCCCGGCCGGCGCUUGCCGAUCAACCCAAAUUUUUAUCCAGGUUGACCUCGGAUCAGGUAGGGAUACCCGCUGAACUUAAGCAUAUCAAUAAG